UACAGAGGGCGCGAGCGUUGUCCGGAAUCACUGGGCGUAAAGGGCGCGUAGGUGGCACUAUAAGGCCGUGGUGAAAGUCUGGGGCUCAACCCCAGAUCUGCCGCGGCGACUGUAGAGCUUGGGCACCGUAGAGGCAGAUGGAAUUCCGGGUGUAGCGGUGGAAUGCGUAGAGAUCGGGAAGAACAUCGGUGGCGAAGGCGGUCUGCUGGGCCGUUGCUGACGCUGAGGCGCGACAGCGUGGGGAGCAAACAGG
rnacentral:rRNA from 1 species